GACGAACGCUGGCGGCAUGCCUAACACAUGCAAGUCGAACGGAGUAUGAGAGCAGAAGGUUUCGGCUGGAAGUUUGAAAUACUUAGUGGCGGACGGGUGAGUAACGCGUGGGUAACGUACCUAUCAGAGGGGAAUAACAAUGAGAAAUCAGUGCUAAUACCGCAUAAGGUUCAGUCAUCGCAUGAUGGCAGAAGGAAAGGUGGCGGACUCGAGAGAGGCUAUCGCUGAUAGAGCGACCCGCGUCUGAUUAGCUAGUUGGUGGGGUAAAGGCCUACCAAGGCGACGAUCAGUAGCCGGCCUGAGAGGGUGGACGGCCACAUUGGGACUGAGACACGGCCCAAACUCCUACGGGAGGCAGCAGUGGGGAAUCUUCCGCAAUGGGCGCAAGCCUGACGGAGCAAUGCCGCGUGAACGAAGAAGGUCUUCGGAUUGUAAAGUUCUGUCCUUAUCGAAGAGAGGGUAUAGAGUGAAAAAUGAUAUACUAGGACGG
rnacentral:rRNA from 1 species